rnacentral:tRNA from 1 species
GCCUCUGUAGCUCAGUUGGUUAGAGCGCUGCACCGGAAUCGCAGGGCCGUAGGUUCAAUUCCUACCAGAAACC